GAUGAACGCUGGCGGCAUGCCUAAUACAUGCAAGUCGAACGAGAGGAAGGAAAGCUUGCUUUUCUGAAUCUAGUGGCGAACGGGUGAGUAACACGUAGGUAACCUGCCCAUGUGCCCGGGAUAACUUCUGGAAACGGAUGCUAAAACCGGAUAGGUAGCAGACAAGCAUUUGACUGCUAUUAAAGUGGCUAAGGCCAUGAACAUGGAUGGACCUGCGGUGCAUUAGCUAGUUGGUGAGGUAACGGCCCACCAAGGCGACGAUGCAUAGCCGGCCUGAGAGGGCGGACGGCCACAUUGGGACUGAGACACGGCCCAAACUCCUACGGGAGGCAGCAGUAGGGAAUUUUCGUCAAUGGGGGGAACCCUGAACGAGCAAUGCCGCGUGAGUGAGGAAGGUCUUCGGAUCGUAAAGCUCUGUUGUAAGAGAAAAACGACAUUCAUAGGGAAUGAUGAGUGAGUGAUGGUAUCUUACCAGAAAGUCACGGCUAACUACGUGCCAGCCGCCGCCGUAA
rnacentral:rRNA from 1 species